GCAGGACCAAUGAUGGUAGCAAAUCCAAGGAACAGGAUCUCAGCAGGGUGAGCGUAUUCUGAUGUUAGUCCAAAAGGUGUAGCAUAUUCAUGAUGCACGCUGUGGACAUUCUUGUACAGCCAUUUGGUGUGCAAAAUUCUAUGCCCCCAGUAGAAAACAAAAUCCUCAAUAAUGAAGUAGAAUAUUAUCUGGCCGAAAACUACUUUCCAGGAUGGCAAUGGAAGAGUGCUUCUCAUUCCCAUACGCUUGAAGACGGGAUAAGAAACAAGCAUAACU
rnacentral:misc_RNA from 1 species